GAUUUCGUACUAUGCACCCACGACGUUGGUGGUCAUAUGGCCUCAUCCGACCCNGUCUUGAAACACGGACCAAGGAGUCUAACAUGUGUGCGAGUCUUUGAGUGAUCCAAACUCCGAGGCGAAAUGAAAGUGAAGGCGACUUCGGUCGCUGAGGUGAGAGCCUUUUUCCAAAAAAAGGCGCAUCAUUGACCGACCUAUUCUACUCUUAGAAAGGUUUGAGUAAGAGCGCAUCUGUUGGGACCCGAAAGAUGGUGAACUAUGCCUGAAUAGGGUGAAGCCAGAGGAAACUCUGGUGGAGGCUCGUAGCGAUUCUGACGUGCAAAUCGAUCGUCAAAUUUGGGUAUAGGGGCGAAAGACUAAUCGAACUGUCUAGUAGCUGGUUCCCUCCGAAGUUUCCCUCAGGAUAGCUGGAACUUACGGCAGUUUUAUCAGGUAAAGCGAAUGAUUAGAGGUCUUAGGGUUAAAACAACCUUAACCUAUUCUCAAACUUUAAAUUGGUAAGAAGUCCGACUUGCUUAAUUGAAGCCGGACAGUGAAUGCGAGUUCCUAGUGGGCCAUUUUUGGUAAGCAGAACUGGCGAUGCGGGAUGAACCGAACGCGCGGUUAAGGUGCCAAAGUCGACGCUCAUCAGACCCCACAAAAGGUGUUGGUUGCUCUAGACAGCAGGACGGUGGCCAUGGAAGUUGGAAUCCGCUAAGGAGUGUGUAACAACUCACCUGCCGAAGCAACUAGCCCUGAAAAUGGAUGGCGCUCAAGCGUCGCACCUAUACCGUGCCGUCGGAGCAGAUGCGAAGCUCCGACGAGUAGGAGGGCGUGGGGGUCGUGACGCAGCCUCUGGCGCGAGCCUGGGUGANACGGCCUCCAGUGCAGAUCUUGGUGGUAGUAGCAAAUAUUCAAAUGAGAGCUUUGAAGACCGAAGUGGAGAAAGGUUCCAUGUGAACAGCAGUUACACAUGGGUUAGUCGAUCCUAAGAGAUAGGGAAAUUCCGUUUGCAAGCGCCCGAUCUUGGGCCGCCUAUCGAAAGGGAAUCGGGUUAAUAUUCCCGAACCGGGACGCGGAUAUUGCCGUUCGCGGCAGAUGCGGUAACGCAAACGAACCCGAAGACGCUUGCGGGGGCCCUGGGAAGAGUUCUCUUUUCUUUUUAACGAGCUUCCACCCUGAAAUCAGCUUGCCUGGAGAUAGGGUUUAAUGCUCGGUAAAGCACCACACUUCUUGUGGUGUCCGGUGCGCUCUCGACGGCCCUUGAAAAU
rnacentral:ncRNA from 1 species